CCGCCCCCCUCCCCGGGGGGGUGGCCAGCGCCCGCCAGAGGACCAUCAAACUCCAGUCAGUAAACGAUGCAGUCUGAAAAACAUUUAAUAAACUAAAACUUUCAACAACGGAUCUCUUGGUUCUGGCAUCGAUGAAGAACGCAGCGAAAUGCGAUAAGUAAUGUGAAUUGCAGAAUUCAGUGAAUCAUCGAAUCUUUGAACGCACAUUGCGCCCUUUGGUAUUCCGAAGGGCAUGCCUGUUCGAGCGUCAUUACAACCCUCAAGCUCUGCUUGGUAUUGGGCACCGUCCUUUGCGGGCGCGCCUCAAAGACCUCGGCGGUGGCGUCUUGCCUCAAGCGUAGUAGAACAUACAUCUCGCUUCGGAGCGCAGGGCGUCGCCCGCCGGACGAACCUUCUGAACUUUUCUCAAGGUUGACCUCGGAUCAGGUAGGGAUACCCGCUGAACUUAAGCAUAUCAAUAAGCGGAGGA
rnacentral:rRNA from 1 species